UACUGACCCACUCAAAGUUUGGCUCCACGCCACGCACACAACCUUCGCAAGUUACUAUAAUUACUAGUAUUAUUUUUUUUAACUGCGACUUAUUUGGUCAAAGUCCCUCAAAAGAGUUUGUGAAAGUACCAGCCCUGUUUUGUUUUGUUUUUGUCGAAAACUGGUCGACGGAAUCCAAGAUGGACGACUUCCUUGUUUAUAUUCAUCAAAGACUACUCCAUUAAUACUUGAAUUUGGUAAAAGGGGGUGAUUUUUUUCACGUUUUUAAGAAUGUGCUAUUGACUCAAAUUAAAUUUGGUGUUUUCGGGCCCUCGAAAUCGCCGUACCUGAUGCGCCAGCAAAAAAAAAAAAAAGUUUGCUGCAGUUCCCGUACCCGCCCAGCAGAUGGCGUACGCAGCUCGUACUGAAGAGCUGGUGUCGCUGUCACAACAUCACAGCAUCUGUUUACUCAGUGACCCUUUAGAGGAGUGGGUGUCGGCCGAGCGAGCCUCAGGCACGCUCUACGCUCUGCGACCCAAUUUAUGAGCGCAAACACCAACACACACCUAACUAACGCCAGGCUUGCCAGCACAGCAGUCAGGCCUCACGGUGUCAGGAGAUUUCAUGAGUUCGGUGCUGAAGUGUGGAGGACGGCUGUUGGUGCGUUCAGGGACCUCUGGUUGUCGUCGUCACUGCCGUCUGUCAGCUGCUUUCAAGUUUGCUGAGGAGAUGAAAGAAUCUCUCAGAAGUCACAUCAUCUUCUUAUGGGUCUGCUGGGACUUGCUGCCACAUCCCGUCUGGCCCCCAGCUUCUCUUGCGCCGUCCCCCCUCCGACAAAGUGCUUUUUCCUUCAGCGUCCCGUCAUCCAUCUUACGGUUUCAUCCCUCGCUACGCAUCCCCCGGGCCCCACUUGCCAUCUUUUAAGUACCAUGCAGUCUGGAGGCAGCGCGCUCGGGAGGACACGCCCCUUACCUCAAUCUGCAUAGAAGAUCCCCCGGAGAACCAGCGUCCACUGUAGUGGACAUUUGUUUUUUCAUCUGUUUAUUUUGUUGAAGUUAUGCACAACACAACCUGUUUUCCUAAAUGUGUAACUUUGACCAAAA